rnacentral:lncRNA from 1 species
GGAGUUAAGACACUUGAACACGCAAUAGACUUGGGCACUUGGGUAUCCAAAAUAUAGAGACCGCUUGAUUUAUGUCCUUUACCUAUAAUCUUCUUCGUCAUAAGAUCCUGAAAAAGACAGUAAUCAGGAAAAAAAUGAGAUAUAGCAGUUCAAGGUCCGAGUUAGUUUGCUCACAAACAUCAAAUUAAAAGAAAAUUGUGGUAAACUUAAGACAGAGGAUAAGGAAAUUAAUAGAGUUGGAUUAAUACUUCCAGAAUCGAGAUCAGAAGUAGAACCAUCAGCUAAAGUAACAUUGGAAGUACGUGUAUGCGACUGAAAGUAGAGAAAAGACUAGGAUUACCUAUCAUAUGAUCUGUGGUGCUAGAAUCAAUGACUCAUUUCGAGGAAGAAAAGAUGAGACAUGUAUUAGGUUUACCUGUUUCAGCAAUGGCAGAGGUAGAGUGAGACGAGUUCUUCAAUGCUUCUUGGUAUUGAGUGAAUUUGGCAAAUUUAUCUACAGAAAUUGUAAUGGUCUGCUCAAAGGAUGAGAUGGGUGUAGCAGAAGUAGCUACAACAUGAGCUGAGUUAGGGAUGGUAAAAAAUCCCGCCCCACCCGAAUGGGGCAAAAAAACUCGCCUCGAACGGGUUGGCGGGGCGAGGAUGCCCCUCACGUGAAGAUAAAAAAAAGAAAAGAAAAGAAUAAACAUAAUUUUAUUUCUAGAUAAUUUACCCGCUAAAGAUCCAUUUUAAAUUUGUAUUUUAUUCUCUAAUUAAUAACAUAACUUGAAAUUUUGAAAAUGUAAAAAAAUAAAAUAAAUAAACUGGGCAAAAAGUUGCCCCGCCCCUGCCCUUAGACCGGGCGGGGGCAGUGGGAUUUUGGCGAGACCCGCCCUGCCCUGAACCCACCCUAUUGCCAUCUCUAAGCUGAGUGAGACUUCAGAGAUUUUUUGUGCAAUUUUCGGCAUGAGUAUUUGGUAUGACCCGGCUCAUGACAAUAUUAGCAGACAACUUCAUUAUGACUUCGAUUGACCGGACUACCUGUACCCCGCCUCUUGUGUUACCUCUACUACUGCGACUGAUAAGAGUACUAGAAGGUUGAACAGAUGAAGCAACAAAAGCACUGGAAUCUGUGCGAAGUACUCUAGUAAAGGUUUCUUGCAAAGAUGGAAUCUCAACACUGGAGAGAACUUGGAAUUUAGCAGUUUCAAACUGAAAAUUAAGGCCUGCUAGAAAACUCAUCACAGCUAUUUGCUCCCGUUGAGCUUGUUGAACUUCUGGACUAAAAGGUAAAAAGACAUUCAAUUCUUCAUAAAUCUUUUUGAAAUUCAUAAAAUAAACUUAAAGAGACUGAUCUUGUUGUUCGGCACGGGAAAAACCCAUACAGACUUCAUAAAUACGUGAUGCGUUCCCUUUUUCAGAGUAUGUAAAUUCUAAAUUUUUCGUUAAUUCCUUAACAUACUUACAGUUAUUAAUCAGGCUGACUAUUUCUGUGUCAAUGGAAUUACAAAAGACAUUUAAUUCUUCAUAAGUCUUUUUGAAAUUCAUAAAAUAAGCUUGAAGAGACUGAUCUUGUUGUUCGGCACGGUAAAAACCCUUACAGACUUUAUAAAUAUGUGGUGCGUUCCCUUUUCCAGAGUAUAUAAAUUCUAAAUAUUCUAUUAAUUUCGUAGCAUACUCACAGUGAUUAAUCAAGGUGACUAUUUCUGUUUCAAUGGAAUUACGAAUUUAUAAGAAUAAUCGGAUAUCAUCUCUUAGCCAUGUCUGGUGAGUAUUAUCCAUUGGUGGAUCUCCAGUAAGGUGAUUGUCCAUAGAAAUACUCCGCAAAUAAACUCGAAUUAUCUUACACCAAUCUAAAUAGUUUGGACCUAUCAACUUAUGCUCCGUGAUUUUGGACAUCAGUCAUAACUAAAUUCUUUUGUUUGUCAACUAUGGAAACAAAUCACGAGGUCCAAGUAACAAAUCAAAGCAGUAGCCCUAACAAGUAACCACCCAAAAUAAUAGGCCCAGCCCACUUCAAAAAGUAAUUGGACAACUUGAUUAACUUGUAGCCCAAUUAAAUUAGUCCAACCACAAUAGCCCAAGCCAAAUGGACCAACAGUAACCAAAUCUGCCUAAUUGAGGGACAAACAAAAACGGCAGCCCAAAUAGAUCUCCAACACGAGAGAUGCAAGAACCACUCACCGGCGAUGGGAAAGAUGAAAAACCAAAUAGCAGGCCUCUAAAAUUAGAUGGAAGACCCAGAAUGAGAACUUGUACGGAAGACCUAGAAGAUCCCGGUGAUGGUAAGAUCCCGAUUUCACCGAGCCGUCACCUGCACGGAAGACCCAAAAGAUCCCGCUUCACUGAAUGAGGGCCUGCACACGGAUGAUGCCGCCAACCGUGAUGAUGUCGUUGGAAAUAUGAAGACUAGACGCUUACGGUGAGCGCACACACGAGUAAGAUAUGUUAUAGCUCCGAUAACAUGUAAUUUGGAGAGAGAGAAAAAUAAUUUGCACAUUCUUUACAUUAAGAGACGGUACAUAUAUAUAUAUACAAUAGGAAUUCUAUAUUAGGAAGGAUCCUAAUUCCCUACUCCUAUAAUUAAGGUAAAAUAUAUUUCAUAAUCAG